rnacentral:misc_RNA from 1 species
AAAAAAAAAACCGACUUCAAUUACCUACAUCGACAAGUAAUACAACGUAGAUCGACGAAAAAAUAGUCAAGCAACUACGCGUUAUCAAAGAUUACUCAAAAAGUAAUUAUCAAAUCUCGACAAAAUUUAUAUGUGACCACAUGAUAAACAUCAGCUUUCGAUUAAAUUAAAAAUUAUCAAAAUCGAUACACCCAGUAAAAAGUUAUUACGGAUUUUCGAGAGUUUCCCUCGAUUUC